rnacentral:ncRNA from 1 species
UGGCUACUCCGCAGGCCUUACAAAGCGGAACGGCAGGAGAAGGCUACCUCCUAAAACGCCUA